UCGAGCGGUAACAGGACUAGCUUGCUAGUUGCUGACGAGCGGCGGACGGGUGCGUAACACGUAGGAAUCUACCCAGUAGCGGGGGAUAGCCCGGAGAAAUCCGGAUUAAUACCGCAUACGCCCUACGGGGGAAAGCAGGGGAUCUUCGGACCUUGCACUAUUGGAUGAGCCUGCGUCGGAUUAGCUAGUUGGUGGGGUAAAGGCCUACCAAGGCAACGAUCCGUAGCUGGUCUGAGAGGAUGAUCAGCCACACUGGGACUGAGACACGGCCCAGACUCCUACGGGAGGCAGCAGUGGGGAAUAUUGCACAAUGGGCGCAAGCCUGAUGCAGCCAUGCCGCGUGUGUGAAGAAGGCUCUAGGGUUGUAAAGCACUUUCAGCGAGGAGGAAAGGUUGGUAAUUAAUACUUGCCAGCUGUGACGUUACUCGCAGAAGAAGCACCGGCUAACUCCGUGCCAGCAGCCGCGGUAAUACGGAGGGUGCAAGCGUUAAUCGGAAUUACUGGGCGUAAAGCGUGCGUAGGCGGCUGCCUAAGUUGGAUGUGAAAGCCCCGGGCUCAACCUGGGAACUGCAUCCAAAACUGGGCAGCUAGAGUGCGGAAGAGGAGUGUGGAAUUUCCUGUGUAGCGGUGAAAUGCGUAGAUAUAGGAAGGAACACCAGUGGCGAAGGCGACACUCUGGUCUGACACUGACGCUGAGGUACGAAAGCGUGGGGAGCAAACAG
rnacentral:rRNA from 1 species